CAGGAUGGUAUCCCUCACAUUCAAGGUGAGUCUUCAAUCCUGAGUUAAACCUUUCUGGAAAGCUCCUCACUGACUCGCCCAGAGGUAUGUCUGUUUAAGUUCUUUCUUGGUCUUCCUGUGGGUUUCCUAUCCCCUUCAGGGCCUUCAAUUUCCCCUCCCCAACUCUUCCAUAAGAGUCCCCAACCUCUGUCCAAUGUUUGACUUUAGGUCUCAGCAUCUGUUCCUGUCACCUGCUUCUCAGAGGACAGUUACCCUAGCCUCCUGUCUGCAAGUACAACCCAGUAUCUUUAACAAUGUCAGGGAUUGGUGCUUGCCCAUGGAAUGGGUUUCAAGUUGGGCCGGUUAUCCCUUGACCAUUCCUUCAGUCUCACCUCUAUCUUUGUCCCUGUUUUCUUUUGGACAGGACAAAGUUUGGGUCAAAAGUUUUGUGGGCAGGCUGGUAUCAAAUAACCUGGACACUUGGGAGCUCUUAGAGACUGAGCUGCAAACCAAAGAAUAUGCAUGGACUGGAGUGAGGCCCCCAGCACAUAUGUAUCAGACAUGCAACUCAGCCUCCAUGUGGGUCGUCCAACACCUGAAGCAGAGGCUCUCCUUAAAGCUGUAGCCUGACUGUGGUAUCCGUUUCCCAACAGGGCUGCCUUGUCUGGCCUCAUUGGGUACACCUAAUCUGACAGAGACUUGAUGUGGCAUAGUAGGGAGAGAUACCUGGUUUUCCCUCCUUCUGUCCAACAGCACAGUCUCUAUGGAGAGCUUUUAAACUCUACCCAUACAACAGUCAGCCUUGGCCUAGAGAACCCAGGAGUGUAGAAGAGACAGACGUGGCUAAGAAGAAACCAGAAACCACUCACAGCAGCUCAAGCAGAAAAGGAGAACUUACUAUAACGCUAAAAAGUGUUCCAGUCCGGUUCACCUAACUUGGUUGCCUUGUCUGGCCUCAGUGGAAGAGGGUACGCUUUGUCCUGCAGGGACUUGACGUGCCAAGGUGGG